rnacentral:rRNA from 1 species
GUGCCAGCCGCCGCGGUAAUACGGAGGGUGCAAGCGUUAUCCGGAAUCAUUGGGUUUAAAGGGUCCGCAGGCGGUCAAUUAAGUCAGAGGUGAAAUCCCAUAGCUUAACUAUGGAACUGCCUUUGAUACUGGUUGACUUGAGUUAUACGGAAGUAGAUAGAAUAAGUAGUGUAGCGGUGAAAUGCAUAGAUAUUACUUAGAAUACCGAUUGCGAAGGCAGUCUACUACGUAUAUACUGACGCUCAUGGACGAAAGCGUGGGGAGCGAACAGGAUUAGAUACCCUGGUAGUCCACGCCGUAAACGAUGGACACUAGUUGUUGGAAUUAUUCAGUGACUAAGCGAAAGUGAUAAGUGUCCCACCUGGGGAGUACGAUCGCAAGAUUGAAACUCAAAUAAAUUGACGG